GCACAGUAUGUGGGAUGGCCAGGGAUCGAAUCUGUACUGGAAGCGCAGAGUCUUAAUCACUGGACCACCAAGUCCCAACAUCUGGUCUUCAGACAGGCAAUUUUCACGAGGCAAAUCCAGAUUCCUGGCUGCUUCUGAAAAUUCAGAAGAUCUGGCAACCCUGGGCGCUCCUUUUGUGUGUUAAGAAUCUGCUGAAGCUAUGUAUCUGAGCCGCUGCCCGCUUCAGAGGGAGCUGCAGUCUUCACCCAGCUGGUUUCCUCACUUCCAUUAGCUGCUGGAUUCCAGUGGCUGUUUGUGUUUUCAUAACUUGUUCGUUUUAAAAUCAGAAGACAGAUUCUGAUUCCUGGCUUCAUUACCAGCCAUGAGAUCACAGGCAAAUUAUUCAUCGUCCCCAAGGCUCACAUCACCAGACAUAAGCAAUGGGGUUACUGCUGCUGAUGCGACAG